CAUGACAUGAGCCGAAAUCAAGAGUCCAUUGCUUAACCAGCUGAGCCACCCAGAACUGUGAUCUAUGAAUUCUCAGAGGAUACUGAAGUUUCCUGAAUAUGAACACUUCUAGAGACAUGGGCAACAAACCAAAUGGACUUCAUGUGAAAUUAUUGACUACUCUGUGCCUCUCAGCCUCAAUUAGCCCCUAAUUCUAGGCACCUGGAAGCCAAAGCAAACCAUAAGGAGCCACAAGCACUACCCCGAUGCAGCAUCUCUGGAAGGAAGUUUCACAUGUUCCAUGAAAGAGCAAGCCUGAGAGACAUUUGUGUGAACUUUAACAGAAGAUGAAGCAGCAGUUACCAUUCUCUGAAGG